CGCGGCGGCGGCGACAUCCCGGCUCCCGCCCGCGCCGCCGCACGCACGCGCACUGCGCCCAGCAUGAGGGUCGCGGCUCUGAUCAGUGGGGGGAAGGACAGCUGUUAUAAUAUGAUGCAGUGCAUUGCUGCUGGGCAUCAGAUCGUCGCUUUAGCGAAUCUGAGACCAGCUGAAAACCAAGUGGGGUCAGAUGAACUGGAUAGCUACAUGUACCAGACAGUGGGGCAUCAUGCCAUUGAUUUGUAUGCAGAAGCGAUGUCUCUUCCCCUCUAUCGCCGCACCAUAAGAGGAAGGAGCGUGGAUACGGAACGAGUGUACACCAAAUGUGAAGGUGAUGAGGUUGAAGAUCUCUAUCAGCUUUUGAAACUUGUUAAGGGCAUCACUAGAGUGACCUUGCUUGCUGAAUAUGAUGCUCUGCAUCUCCAAGAUUUUCACAUGCAUUUGGAAGUGGGCAGUCAGGCGAUUGUUUACAGGGCUCCAAAUGAACUGUGCACUCACAGCAAGUUUGAUAAACACACAUUUCCUCCUUUUAUCAGUGAGAUUGCAGAAUGUGAAGUAUGAGUUUCCAGUUUUACUCAUUCCCCUCAACCCUUUUCCUGUUUAAAAACUUAGACAUACUAAUUGGAUGCUGAUCUGUCCCUGUUUUUUAUUCUGCUUACUGGUAGUUGAUGGCUUAUUCCAAUACUUACCUAGGCAAGGUUUGGCAAUCCUUCAAAAAUAAACUUUCCAUGUAUUCAACAUAAAGGAGAUUCAUCCCAAGGAAUGUAAUGUGAGCACUAAUUAACAGUAAUGACUGCUAAUCACUUUGCUUUUUAUACUCCUUUAGGAGCACUGCUAUUAUCCAAUGUAGUUAAGUAAAAUGCUUGUAUAUGAAUCAACAAUGCUGCAUCCUUUUAGCAACUUUUGCUCACAAUCAAGCUUUGCAUAAAUUAGAGUUAACUAAAAUUGGUUUUAAUAUGCUACGUUUCUUUCUACAAUAGUAAAGUAAAAUAUCUAGUUAAAUAUCCUGAAUAUUAAAAAGACAUCACCUGGUAUUUUUUUUUGCAAUCAUCCUUAUGGUAGAUGAGAAGCAACACUGCAAAUAAAUUUUCUCACAGUUCAUGAUAUUUUCUCUUAGAUUUCUUCAAAAUUGCAUGUGACGUACUCUUCAUAGUCACAGGAGCACUUUGAUUGUGUUGUAAGCAUUGUAUCAGAUCCAUGAAAAGCAAUAGGCUUGUAUUUAAUUUUUCUGAAUUUGUGCAUUUACUUCCUAGAGGAUCUUACAGUUUCUUUAAAUUAUAUAGCCCAUUAUAUAAACUUGGCUCAUAGGAUAGUGCAUUCAAUGUUCAUUAAAAAGGGGUGUUUUAUUAUGUUUAGUGUAUUAUUAGACUAUUAUAAAAGCUUUCUGUUUAUUUACAUGCAUUCAACAUACCUACAAACCGCCUUGCCUCAGGAGGAGACUAAGCAAAACUCAUAAAUUAAUAAUUUAAGGGAGCGAUACUCAAGUAGCAUUUUGGUUAAGUUAAUAAGUUAAAGCCUUAGCGUCAAAUCAGUGCUGGCCACUUUAACAAUGCUUUACUUUUGACUUUUAUUGGCUGAAAAUAACUUGUUAAACUGGGGCUUUUGUAAUAAAAUGAAAUCUACAUACCAUCUGAAGCCCCUGCCCUUCUUUUUGAUUUAUGAGUAGGUUGACGUAUUAUUGAAGAAUUUUUAACACUUUCACAGUUCUGCACUUUGAUUUCAGAGAAGGUGCUAAUCUCUCUGGAAGUUUGAGAGUGACAAAAUGAGUUGUAUACUGUUUUUCUAGGGAAUUUGGAAUUCUUUAUUAGUGGCCUUAGUUUUAUGAUGGUACUUGUAUUAACAUUGAUUUGUCUAACGUGUAAUGUGGUGUUGUGAUUUGAUGUACAUGAAUGGAGUAUCCUCCUUUCUCAUAUCUCUAGUUGCCUGGCCAUGAUGUUAUAAUUCUUAUAGGUGAUGUUAGUGUUUCUACAGAGGUUCAGCAAUUCAGGGCAUUAUUUUUAAAUUACCAAAAUAAAAUAAUUUAAUUUCCUUUUCACUUUUGUAUUUUUUGUAGUGGAAAAAAUUAAGUAGUAGUGUCAUAAGAAGCUUUAUAUUUUAUAUGCUAGUCUUAUUGUAAUACAUUGCAAACAUAUGUGUUUUAAAAAAACUUUUGGCACUGUAUUUAAUUGAAUUUAGUUUCAAAGAAUUGUAACAGGAAUGAUGUGAGAGAACAGAAAAUAUAUGGAAGCUUAAUUGAAUGCUAUCCAUAUGUAAUUAUAAGAUUCGUGAGUAUUGUAUGUAACUUAUUUAUUUUAUAUUCCAGUAUUAUUGCACAAUAGCACAAAAUGCAUGUGUAUGAGGAAAAACCUGCUUUUUCUGUUUUGCUUUGGGUUUGAGUUUUUAUGUGUAGUAAAAUUACAUUUAAAAAAGG